AUUCUAGAGUUUGAUCAUGGCUCAGGACGAACGCUGGCGGCGUGCCUAAUACAUGCAAGUCGAGCGGACAGAUGGGAGCUUGCUCCCUGAUGUUAGCGGCGGACGGGUGAGUAACACGUGGGUAACCUGCCUGUAAGACUGGGAUAACUCCGGGAAACCGGGGCUAAUACCGGAUGGUUGUUUGAACCGCAUGGUUCAAACAUAAAAGGUGGCUUCGGCUACCACUUACAGAUGGACCCGCGGCGCAUUAGCUAGUUGGUGAGGUAAUGGCUCACCAAGGCAACGAUGCGUAGCCGACCUGAGAGGGUGAUCGGCCACACUGGGACUGAGACACGGCCCAGACUCCUACGGGAGGCAGCAGUAGGGAAUCUUCCGCAAUGGACGAAAGUCUGACGGAGCAACGCCGCGUGAGUGAUGAAGGUUUUCGGAUCGUAAAGCUCUGUUGUUAGGGAAGAACAAGUACCGUUCGAAUAGGGCGGUACCUUGACGGUACCUAACCAGAAAGCCACGGCUAACUACGUGCCAGCAGCCGCGGUAAUACGUAGGUGGCAAGCGUUGUCCGGAAUUAUUGGGCGUAAAGGGCUCGCAGGCGGUUUCUUAAGUCUGAUGUGAAAGCCCCCGGCUCAACCGGGGAGGGUCAUUGGAAACUGGGGAACUUGAGUGCAGAAGAGGAGAGUGGAAUUCCACGUGUAGCGGUGAA
rnacentral:rRNA from 2 species